GAAUGCUGAGGUUUUCAAAAGGAAUUGACAUGACGUGCUGUUUGUGGAUCAACUUCAGUGUUGCAAGAUCCAGUUUAUCAAAAGAGCCAUGGAGACCAAUUCUUUUGAAGUAUUCCUCCAAAUUCAUCUUGCCUUCAAUGUGAUUGAUUGUGCGCUCAGUCAGAAUGGUCUCUCCUGAGGACGCAGUGUGUCUAUAAGAGCCACAAACAAA